GUUAGGAAUAUUGGACAAUGGGCGCAAGCCUGAUCCAGCCAUGCCGCGUGAGUGAUGAAGGCCUUCGGGUUGUAAAGCUCUUUAGCCGAUGAUUAUAAUGACUGUAGUCGGAAAAUAAGCCCCGACUAACUUCGUGCCAGCAGCCGCGGUAAUACGAAGGGGGCGAGCGUUAUUCGGAAUCACUGGGCGUAAAGCGUGCGUAGGCGGCUUUGCAAGUUGGGAGUGAAAGCCCAGGGCUCAACCCUGGAAUUGCUCUCAAAACUGCAAGGCUCGAAUUCGGGAGAGGAUAGCGGAAUUGUCAGUGUAGCAGUGAAAUGCGUAGAUAUUGACAGGAACACCAGUGGCGUAAGCGGCUAUCUGGACCGAUAUUGACGCUGAGGCACGAAAGCGUGGGGAUCAAACAGGAUUAGAAACCCUGGUAGUCC
rnacentral:rRNA from 1 species